GAAUUUUCUGUCACGUGACACAGAGCACAGAGCAGAAGCUACAGCUCGGCGUUUGUUUAUACGUUUUAUUUUUAAUUUUUUGGGGAAAUAAAAACACUUUUACACGGUCCACAAAUCUGUGGUUUAUUCAACCAGAGGAAACUAAACGUCCAGCAGUGAAGGUUGCCGGUUCAUCUACGACACAUGCAGAUAGAACAGCUGGAGCGGGGAUAAGCAGACGUCAUGCUUACAUUAUAUCAAUCCUCUUGUCUUUAACAGGGGAAAACGUGCAGGAGGAAGGGACGGCCAGGGCUGAAGGACAUUUCUUCCGUUCUCCUCCUCGAUCUCUCUCGUUCCUGUGGAUGUUUAGGAGGGGUCUGAGCUCUUCAGUGCGCCCACCUUCGUCUCCAGGUACCCUCUACCCGUCAAAGUCCCGGACCAGCACUGACCCCGCCGACACCCGGAUCAUCCCCACACAACAGACACUUCGGACACGCCGUGAAGCGAGAUGUGUCACGUGAACAACAGCUCGAACGUGAAAGAUGACUUCAGGAGGAGAACUACAGUCAGUCCACCAAUUAAUUGAGCAA